GAUAUAAUGUAUUGCACAAAGGAAUAUAUUAAAUAUUUAGGAAAUUUUAUAUUAAUAUAUUACCUAAAACUACUUCUCCUUUCAAAAUCUCCUAUUAAUUAAAAAAAAUAAUAAUAAUUUUGAAAAUAAUAAUAAUAAUAAUAAUAAUGUGAUUUGAUCAAAAUAUGUUUUUAGUACUGAAAAGGUGUUUUACAUCAAAACUCUACUAAUUAAACUGAUUUUUAGUUAGUUACAUUGAAUGAAAAACUUCUUUAAUUAUUAUAUUUUUUAUU
rnacentral:lncRNA from 1 species